CCUGCUCUCACCAGACGAUGAGAUAAUGAAGCAGCGUCACAGCCAUUAACAAUUGCUCCAUACCAACCUAUAUCUAUACAUAGGAGAGAGAGAGAGAGAGAGAGAGAGCGAGAGGGGAAAAUAACAAAAGCAGUGCAGAGAGUAGACUGAGAGAAGUCUCUUUCUUUAUCUCUACCGUGAGAACUGAUCAAUGAUUCCGGGCCAUAUCGAGGAAGAACCAAGUGGUUUCUCUGACAUUUAUCCUAUUGUUGUACUUUCCUUGUAGUGGAGAUUUAAGAGGUAUGAGUUUGAUGGGUUAUAGGAGCUGUGCGGGAAUAAGGGAAAGGAAACAAGCAAAGAAGGAGAAAGCAGGGCUGAUGUAAAAGAAAGGAAAGCAGGGGAACCAUCCUUUUACUGUCACCUCUGAUGAAAUCCCUCUGGCUUCUGGGAUCAUCCUCGAGAGGCUUCUCCAAAAGGUGUGAUCUUGAUGGGUUCUUGGGUUGCUGAAGAAGAGUUGGAAAUAUCGGGUGGCUGAAGAAGAGUCGGAGGGGGGAACUGCCCUUCUCCCCCCCACCCCAUCUGAUGAUAAAUUCCACUUAAGCAGUUGGGUUAUGUUUCAAGAUCUCUUCUUUAGCCUAACGCCUGUGAGGAGAACAACAGGGAGUGGGCAGCUGAAUAAGAAUAAGAGGAGGAAGUUAUUUUCCUCGUCUCCUAGCUGAUGAUAUAUCCGGCGGAUCACAGAGAAACCAACUUGGCUUGCCUCAAAAGCUCAUCUUGCAGCUGUUCCUCUGGUAUUUCCAAAGCUUGGACGGUUUGAGUUCUCACAAGGAUGUCCCAGCAUUGCAUCUCCUUUUCUGAUGGCAGACGAUGCAAGCAUUGUCAAACGUGGAGAAACAUGUUAUUUGUGUUGGUUCUCGGUGGUCUUAGUUGCUCCAUCUGGUUCUUGUGGGGAUUGGAGGACUAUGGGGUUUUGGUGAGGAUUAGGGACUUGCAGAAUGAGAGAAUGCAUUCACCACUUGAUCUAUACAACCUUAGCAAAGAUCAGCUUCAAGCCCUGGCUUUGCUAAUCUCUUCAUUACAACAGGGAAGAUUCUAUGAGUGGAUGAACAAGCCUGUAACUGGUGAAAUACUUAGCAGUAGCCUGUUACAUUCAUUGUCAGAACUGCAGUCAGAAAUGGAUGAUUCCCAAGAUCAACAACAUCGGAGGAGGAAUAACAUAGUCUUCCAGGGUCAUUGUCCAACUCAAAGUGAUCCUGUCCUUGUUAGGUCUGCACAGUUAUCACCUAAGGGACAUUAUACACAAGAUAUUUUGCCUUCUACAAUAAACAGUGAUGAAAUCUCUCUGAAGGUAAGGUUGCUCCUCUGCAGCAUAGGAGAUAGGGUUCGAAUGAUGGAAAUAGUCUCUAAAAAUAUAGAUAAGGCUGCAUUGACCCUCAUCAUAUCCCGCAUUAGCGAGUACACAGCAAGGACAGCAUUUGAAAGGCCACUGAUGAGCAGGGUUGCCUAUGCUUUGAGAGUAUUACAUACAGAGAGGGGGCGGUUCGAGCAGCAGCAUGCAUGGCAAAUAAAGAAGAUGGAGACUGAGUUCCAGUCCCUAGUUAAAGAUGACUACAAUCCUGAGAAACUUGAUCCCUCACCUGUUCAAGAUGAAUAUGCACCUGUUAUAUUCUCACAGGAAACUGUAUCCCACAUUGUAUCUAUUGAUAUGAUGUCCGGCAAGACUGAGAAUAUACUGCGAGCAAGGGCUGCUAGGAAGGGGGUCUUAACUUCUUGUAAUCUUUUGAAGUCCAAUCACCUUGGUGUGGUGCUCACAUUUGCAGUGUACAAAACUAACCUGCCUCUGAAUGCUGCACCACAAGAGCGCAUUGAAACUACUGUAGGAUACCUUCGUGCAUCAUUUGAUGUCCCAUCUUUGGUGGAAAAACUUCUUCAGCAACUUGCCAGCAAACAAACCAUCAUUGUUAAUUUGUAUGACACAACAAAUGUUUCUGCACCUAUUAGGAUGUAUGGUCCUGACACUGCUGCUUCUGGAGAGAAGCAUAUUAGUUACGUUGAUUUUGGGGAUCCAACCCGGAAGCAUGAAAUGCAUUGCAGAUUCAAGCACAAGCCUCCACUACCUUGGUCAGCAAUAACCAUGUCAGUAGGGGUUGCAGUAAUUGUUCUAGUUGGGCAUAUAUUUCAUGCAGCUUUAAACCGCAUUGAGGAGGUAGAAGAUGAUUAUUGUCAAAUGAGAGAGCUGAAAGUCCAAGCAGAAUCUGCUGAUGUUGCAAAAUCUCAGUUUCUGGCAACAGUUUCCCAUGAAAUCAGGACUCGGAUGAAUGGUGUCUUAGGUAUGUUGCAGAUGCUGAUGGACACAGAUCUUGAUGCAACCCAACAAGAUUUUGCAAUGACUGCUCAAUCAAGUGGAAAGGCUCUGAUAGCUCUAAUAAAUGAGGUUCUUGAUCAGGCUAAGAUAGAAUCUGGCAGACUUGAACUAGAGGCUGUUCCUUUUGAUCUUCGUGAUGUUCUGGACAAUGUGCUGUCUCUUUUUUCAGAUAAAUCACAAGCCAAAGGCAUAGAGAUGGCAGUGUAUGUAUCUGAACGAGUUCCAGAGAUUCUAAUUGGAGACCCUGGAAGGCUCAGGCAGAUCAUCACAAAUCUUCUUGGAAACUCAGUGAAGCUUUAUCAUGAUGAAGAAGAUAAUCCUAUUACAGACAUGGGUGAGGGCAUAUUAUUUCCUCACCUUCUUUUAGAUUGCAGGAAAAAUGGUGCAGCGAUGCCUUUAGGAAGUCUGCCAAAUAUGUUUCUGGAAGUAACUUCCCAAAGCCCCACCGAGGUUCAUGAACUGAAGUCAGCAGGAUAUGUUGAUAGUAUACUGAAACCACUGCACCCAGGUAUCAUUGCUACUUGUCUGUGGAAAGCACUAGGCAUGGAGCACAAGAGGCAGCAAUUCAAAGGCAAAUCAAUGCCACUUCAAAGUCUUCUCAGUGGAAAAAACAUCCUAGUUGUUGAUGACAAUGCAAUCAACUGUAAAGUCGCUGCUGCUGUUUUAGAGAAAUAUGGUGCUACAGUUACAAGUGCAGACAGUGGGAAGGAGGCUAUUAAAAUGCUACAACCUCCACACAAUUUUGAUGCUUGCUUUAUGGAUGUUAAAAUGCCAGAAAUGGAUGGCUUUGAAGCCACAAGACAGAUCCGUCUCAUGGAAAACAUAGUCAAUGAGCUGAUCAGGUCCGGAGGAUGCAUCACUGGAAUUAUAUGGCAAUGUAGUUCAUUGGCACAUACCUAUACUAGCUAUUACAGCCGUCGUUAUUCAAGCAACACAUGAAGAAUGUCUACGAUGUGUUAUGGAUGAUUAUGUAUCAAAACCUUUUGAAGCACAGCAACUAUACUCUUCUGUAGCACAAUUUUUCGAGUCUGAUAUGGUGGAUGGAAUGUCAUGAUGGUUUAAAGAUUUCACUGCUAAGAAGUUAUUCUGGUUUUUGUUCUAAAGCACUUUAUCUAGCACACCUCAAGGUGGUCAGAGAAGACAAUGCCUAAGCGAGUGCGGAGAAGCAUCACAGUCAGUCAAGCUUGACCAACCUUGUGAUUUUCUGGUCUGGCAAUGAGCAGAAGAGAUAUAUCAUGUUAUCCAACUUGGGAGAGGGAGAAUACAACAGCAGAGCAACUCUAUGGAUGUAAAUUAGGGUUUGAUUCAUGAGAAUGAGCUGACACAGAUACAUCAGUACAAGAAUUCUGGCUGGUGCACAGUUUGAUUGCUUUUUUUGCACAGAAUGUGGUAUUUAAAGCUGAAGCUUAUGAAGACAUCAAUCUAGUGGCUGGCACCUGAUAUUUUCCAAGAGACCUAGUUUUUGUUCCUGACAACUAAGGAAUAAUUUGUUUCAAGGAUUUCUUUGCCCUGAGGAUUUGAUGCCAGAACAUCUUAUUGUCAGUACAGUUCCUGAUCCAUGCAUUAGUUACCAGCUUGGUUUCAAGUUUUAUGCAGAUUAAACCCCAUCUUUCCUGCUUCGUCAUUCAACUAGAAUGCUUCCGAAUCAUUCCAUGAAUCACUGAGACUGCCACAGCUGACAAGGUGUUCAUUCCAUUUUUGUUUUGAAGCUGUGGAAUUAAUUUCAAUGUGCAGCAAAAUCUUUUCUGUUGAUUAUACUCCAUGGUAAUUGAAAUGUACUACCAGUCGAUGCAACAAAUUUGUUCUUCUUUAUCAUGUCAACCCCAAAAUUCUAGGAGAUCAUGUGAAUGAUUGAGAAGGACAUCCAUGUAAGAUAUGGAGCAUUAACUGCAAUAUUGCAAUCCAACACACCAAACCUUGUCAGAGAUAGGAAAGAGCUUCUUAUCCUUUCAACAUUUUGCAUUUAGAGAAAUUCACAUUAGUAAUCAAUCUAUUUUUCUCUUGAAUUGCUCUU